rnacentral:rRNA from 1 species
CGGAAAGACCCCGUGGAGCUUUACUGUAGCCUGAUAUUGAAAUUCGGCACAGCUUGUACAGGAUAGGUAGGAGCCUUUGAAACGUGAGCGCUAGCUUACGUGGAGGCGCUGGUGGGAUACUACCCUAGCUGUGUUGGCUUUCUAACCCGCACCACUUAUCGUGGUGGGAGACAGUGUCAGGCGGGCAGUUUGACUGGGGCGGUCGCCUCCUAAAAGGUAACGGAGGCGCUCAAAGGUUCCCUCAGAAUGGUUGGAAAUCAUUCAUAGAGUGUAAAGGCAUAAGGGAGCUUGACUGCGAGACCUACAAGUCGAGCAGGGUCGAAAGACGGACUUAGUGAUCCGGUGGUUCCGCAUGGAAGGGCCAUCGCUCAACGGAUAAAAGCUACCCCGGGGAUAACAGGCUUAUCUCCCCCAAGAGUUCACAUCGACGGGGAGGUUUGGCACCUCGAUGUCGGCUCAUCGCAUCCUGGGGCUGUAGUCG